UUAACUCGUAUUUGUAUGGAGCUUGGAACGUUUGCCUACGUUUGCCGCUAGAGGCGCUGUUCCAAUUGCAUACAAAUACGAGUCA
rnacentral:pre_miRNA from 1 species